UUUCCGUAGGUGAACCUGCGGAAGGAUCAUUAAUGAGUUGUCAUGGGGUUCGAUGCUGGCAGCCAGUUUUUGGAUGCAUGUGCUUGCCCUAACAAUCAUCUUCUUCCAAACACCUGUGCACAUUUUUGAGGGAGUCUUGAGUUGGUUGCCGCUCUUGGGUGAUUUUCUCACAUUCCCUUAAAUCAUUAUACGCUAUUAACAAUGUUGAUCGUGCUCUGUGCCGCAAGGCCAUUAAUAUAAUACAACUUUUAACAACGGAUCUCUUGGCUCUC
rnacentral:misc_RNA from 1 species